AGUGAACGCUGGCGGUAGGCCUAACACAUGCAAGUCGAACGGCAGCACAGUAAGAGCUUGCUCUUACGGGUGGCGAGUGGCGGACGGGUGAGGAAUACAUCGGAAUCUACUUUUUCGUGGGGGAUAACGUAGGGAAACUUACGCUAAUACCGCAUACGACCUACGGGUGUAAGCAGGGGGUCUUCUGACCUUGCGCGAUUUAAUGAGCCGAUGUCGGGUUAGCGAGUUGGCGGGGUAAAGGCCCACCAAGGCGACGAUCCGUAGCUGGCGUGAGAGGGGGAUCGGCCCCACUGGGAAAGAGACACGGCCCAGACUCCCCCGGGGGGGGGAAGUAGGGGAAAUUUGGGAAAGGGGGCAAGACUGACCGAGCAACGCCGCGGGGGGGAAGAAGGUGUUCGGGUGGUAAAAAUCCGUUUUUAGGGAAGAAAAAGGAUGCGAGUGGAAAGCCCACCGCUUGACGGUACCCAAAAAGAAAGCCACGGCUAACUUCGUG
rnacentral:rRNA from 1 species